GCCUCCGUAGCUCAACUGGCAGAGCAGCUGACUCUUAAUCAGUAGGUUCGGGGUUCGAGUCCCUGCGGGGGUA
rnacentral:tRNA from 2 species